rnacentral:miRNA from 14 species
GGCUUGUGGGGGGUCACUCUGGGCACCACAACACUGUGCUAGGGAUGUUGCAGCUGCCUGGGAGUGACUUUACACAGUCCUC